rnacentral:sRNA from 14 species
GUAAGAAAGAGAAGCCUAAGUCAUCCAUUAAUCCACAGGCAAAGUACUAUUCAAGCAGCUGCAGUGAAAGCUCUCACAUGCUGCCCUGGAAAUAACCCCAGCCUUGACGUGGUAAGAUGACCCUAAGUAAGGUCAGAAGCUCAGUUCUCGUUUUCAUUUAAGCUUCUGGUUUU